UUUCUAUAAUUUGAAGUUCAAUGACUUUAUAAUAAGUGAAAGUUUUGUUAAUCUACUAAUCAUGAUAGGUGGAUAGAGCUAACUCCGAUGAGCACAUAUAUAGAAGCCAAAAGAACGGCUUGAUUACUUUUUAAAUUAAAGUAUAGUAGCUUAAUCGCUUCAAAUUGAAAUUUAGUGACUCUAGCAUUCACCAAUAUGAUCUUGCUUACUCUUGAACUCUUCAGCAAGUUUAGCCACCGCCUCAAAGGCCGAGCUUUGAGAUGGUUCUAUAUACUCUUUUUGUCGGGGACUAACUUAUUUGACUCGUUGCUCUUUCUUAACUUGUGUGAAUAAGUAUCUUGUGCUAGGGAUUGCUCUGGGUGUUUCGGCUACAGAAGAUUCAUUUACUCAAGGUUAGGGGAGUAGGGUUCUGCCAUGUCUUGUUAAUUUGCAGUUAGUCUAUCUUAACUCCUCAGUUACUUUUGGUUGUGUGGUUACAUUGAUGUUCUUGAUCUUAAUUUUUGUUUUUGUUUCUCAUAAUUUUUCCAUUUUUCUCUUACUAAUGUUCCUUUUCAUACAGGAUUCCUAUUAUAAAUGGCGGCAACAAUGGCCAAACGGUAUACCAGGGGACUGAGAAUGGAGAACUAACCUAUAGGAGCAGUUCUGGUUCUCUGGACUCAAUGAACAACGUUGCCACUGUAGUGGUUGACGAAACAGGUGGGGAUGGUCUUCAGGUGCCAACCGAAACAAAUAGGGGAUUUGUAUAUACUAAUGAUACCCCAGCAGUAAAUACUGGGCUAGGGACUGUAAAUACUAAAGAAAACUCAACAAUGGGUAGUCAGAUAUCUGUAUAAUAGAGGUGGCUUGAUAAUUAUGAAAAAUCAAUCAAAAGAAUGCGACGAGCUUGAUUAAAGGUAUUUUUAGUAGGUCCUGCUCUAUUUUUUUAUUUAUCAUUUUUUUGUCAAUUCAUU
rnacentral:lncRNA from 1 species